rnacentral:rRNA from 1 species
ACGCUGGCGGCGUGCCUAAUACAUGCAAGUAGAACGCUGAAGGAGGAGCUUGCUUCUCCGGAUGAGUUGCGAACGGGUGAGUAACGCGUAGGUAACCUGCCUGGUAGCGGGGGAUAACUAUUGGAAACGAUAGCUAAUACCGCAUAAGAGUAGAUGUUGCAUGACAUUUGCUUAAAAGGUGCAAUUGCAUCACUACCAGAUGGACCUGCGUUGUAUUAGCUAAUUGGUGGGGUAACGGCUCACCAAGGCGACGAUACAUAGCCGACCUGAGAGGGUGAUCGGCCACACUGGGACUGAGACACGGCCCAGACUCCUACGGGAGGCAGCAGUAGGGAAUCUUCGGCAAUGGACGGAAGUCUGACCGAGCAACGCCGCGUGAGUGAAGAAGGUUUUCGGAUCGUAAAGCUCUGUUGUAAGAGAAGAACGAGUGUGAGAGUGGAAAGUUCACACUGUGACGGUAUCUUACCAGAAAGGGACGGCUAACUACGUGCCAGCAGCCGCGGUAAUACGUAGGUCCCGAGCGUUGUCCGGAUUUAUUGGGCGUAAAGCGAGCGCAGGCGGUUAGAUAAGUCUGAAGUUAAAGGCUGUGGCUUAACCAUAGUACGCUUUGGAAACUGUUUAACUUGAGUGUAAGAGGGGAGAGUGGAAUUCCAUGUGUAGCGGUGAAAUGCGUAGAUAAAUGGAGGAACACCGGUGGCGAAAGCGGCUCUCUGGCUUGUAACUGACGCUGAGGCUCGAAAGCGUGAGGAGCAAACAGGAUUAGAUACCCUGGUAGUCCACGCCGUAAACGAUGAGUGCUAGGUGUUAGACCCUUUCCGGGGUUUAGUGCCGCAGCUAACGCAUUAAGCGCUCCGCCUGGGGAGUACGACCGCAAGGUUGAAACUCAAAGGAAUUGACGGGGGCCC